GACACAAGUCCCAGUUACCGUCUUAGUUAGAAGUUAGUUACAGUAGAACGUUCGUCGAAAUCCCUAAAGUAAACGGGACGAUCUGGGAUCAAUCUGGCGAUUCGCGAUCCCAUCAUUAUUAUCAGCUGAACCACGAGGAUACUAGUAGUCAGUAGUAUUAGUACCGGUAUAUGACCGGACGUCUGAACAGCAGUACUGCCUAUAUUUCUGACCAACCGACACCAUGCUACUUCAAGUUUUCAUUGCGCAGGUUGAGUGAACAUGACCACGGAAAUUGGCCUCAGCGAUACGUGCACUCCUUUCGAAGCAAGAAUCACAGCUCUAAUAGAGAGGAACAAUCGCCUGGAGAAGCGACUCGCCCAGGACAGGGAGCUGAUCGUGCUCCUGUGUCGGGAGAACAUGGCGAAAGAUGUCGUCAUCGGACAGCUGCUUGAUCGGCUAGGGACAGGAUAUCCAUCCUACGGUCUCCGGACAGGUCCACUCAUAGCUGAGUGCACGGAGUCUCCUGAAAAGCAUCAAGCACCAGUGUGCUAUGCUCUGCAUUCAACACCGAUGGAAAAGCAUCCUGAUGAAUCUACAGCUCCGCCUGGGCCGCCACUUCCCGUACAGGAGACAUCUGUGAAGCCAGGCUACGGCUAGCAACCUGUACCACUCUCAGCAUACAUGUACAUGUACAUUGUACAUUAUCCUGGAGUGAAUGUUCAGUAUGGUAUAUUGUACAUUAUCCUGGAGUGAAUGUUCAGCAUGGUAUAUUGUACAUUAUCCUGGAGUGAAUGUUCAGCAUGGUAUAUUGUACGAGUUACGUGUACAAUGUGCAAGUACAAAGUCAUGUUCCUGUAUGUGUGCACAUGUACAUGUACAUGUACAGUGUAUGUUCGCAGCGGAAAAUUUAUAAUCUUCAGUUUCUUUUCCCUUUGGCCCAUUUCUUUUUUUUGAAGACGAUUAUUAAGAUGUACAUGUAUAAUGUAGAUUAGUUUAGGUGUCCUUGCUGCAUCGCUAGAUUAGAGUUCACUUUAUCGCUGACAGAUCAAACCCACUGCAAGCCCCUUCCCGCAAGCGCGUUAACACACGCACACACAUAUACAUACACACACCACACAAAAACACACACACAGACACACACACAGACGCACACACACACACCACACAAAAACACACACUCACGCACAAAAACACACACACGCACACACUCACACACACACAAACACACACAUACAUGUACAUGUUCAUGUACACACACAUCCGCCCAUGUAUAAACAUGCACAUGAUUGUAUACGUUUUCGCACACAAACACACAGGCAUGCACGCACCUAGUCCCCAUUUUUGCCUGCACAUUCUUGUGGAGUAAUUCUGGGUUAAAAAAACUCAAAAUGUUAACACAUGUUUCGGUACACGUUUCCUAAUUCAUAACAUUGUAGAACGAUGAGAAAAGAUUUUUUGUUUGAACGUUCUAAUAUCUCUUUCGUUAAAAAACUUUGAAUCGCAAUGAUAAGACCUUUGUCAGUUUGUCUCCAAAUCCCUCAUACAUGUACAAAUACAUAAUAUUCUACAGUGUGUAUGGCAUUUCUAGUUUUUCAAGAUUUCUACUGAAAACAUUCGUCGUUCUUUUCCUCAGAAAAUUUGCAAUUGUUUCGCCAAGGAUGUGUAAGGUUUCGCUCAGUGG